CUUGUUGGAAAAGGAAAGGUGUGGAUACAUUCUAAAAGGGAUGGGUAUGAGUUCUGUCACUUACGCAUGCAUGGCCUCUGGUGAAGUCAAUAAGAACCACACAUGCAUAUUCAAGGACUGGCAAUAAAAGGAAAAGCACUUCAGUGGAGUGAAAUGGUCUUCGUCCUGACACAUUCAAUGUGAAGCACAGGUGGACUAAAUGACUUGCCCAAGGUUGUUUUGGAAGCCUGUGGAAGAACCAGGAAUAUUUACAAAGGAUUUGAUUCUUUUUACCCCUUGCAGGAUAUUAGUAAUUAUAUUCUAAAAAUUCUAGAUUCCCCCCAGAGAAGAGACCAAGCCUGGAAAAUUUCAGGCCAAAAGUAGAAAGUCUGU